GGAUUAGAUACCCUGGUAGUCCACGCCGUAAACGAUGAGUGCUAGAUGUCGCGGGUAUUGACCCCUGCGGUGUCGUAAGCUAACGCGUUAAGCACUCCGCCUGGGGAGUACGGCCGCAAGGCUAAAACUCAAAGGAAUUGACGGGGGCCCGCACAAGCGGUGGAGCAUGUGGUUCAAUUCGACGACGCGCAGAACCUUACCUGGGUUAAAUCCACCAGAAUUCCGCAGAGACGUGGAAGUGCCCUUCGGGGAAUUGGUGAGAAGGUGCUGCAUGGCUGUCGUCAGCUCGUGCUG
rnacentral:rRNA from 1 species